rfam:Lutibacter sp. BRH_c52 BRHa_1006310, whole genome shotgun sequence.
GGGGACGACUGGUUUUGACUGCAAGGUCAAUUAAGGUAUAAGCAUGUCGAGUAAUGAAAUAGCACUCGUAAAUCUCAAUUUCAAAAAUUUAAACGGCGAAGAUAACUACGCUUUAGCUGCUUAAUCCGAAUCACAGUAGGAUGAGCCUUGUCACACUAGGUGUGAAAGCUGAAUGUCUCUUGAAAGCCUUGGUUAGCGGCGGUCAAUAAAGAGGCAUCGUAAAAGUUAACAUAGAUUUGCCAUUGUUUCGUUGGCAUUUUGAAACUUAAGAAACUAAGCUUAAAGUGGGCUGUUUUCGGUCAGCUUUAAGUCGAAAACCAAUCGAAAAAUAAACAUGUAGAAAGUAUUUUGGUUGCUUGUUUGGACCCGGGUUCGAUUCCCGGCGUCUCCACUA